AUUGAACGCUGGCGGCGUGCUUAACACAUGCAAGUCGUGCGGUAACAGGCGUAGCAAUACGUGCUGACGAGCGGCGAACGGGUGCGUAAUACAUGGGAAUCUGCCUUUUAGUGGGGAAUAACCCGGCGAAAGCCGGGCUAAUGCCGCAUAAGAUCUUCGGAUGAAAGCGGGGGAUCGUAAGACCUCGCGCUGAUAGAUGAGCCCAUGCCGGAUUAGCAGUUGGUGAGGUAACGGCUCACCAAGGCGACGAUCCGUAGCUGGUCUGAGAGGACGGCCAGCCACACUGGGACUGAGACACGGCCCAGACUCCUACGGGAGGCAGCAGUGGGGAAUAUUGGACAAGUGGGGAAACCCUGAUCCAGCGACGCCGCGUGUGUGAAGAAGGCC
rnacentral:rRNA from 1 species